UACGGGGGGGGCUAGCGUUGUUCAGAAUUACUGGGCGUAAAGGGCGCGUAGGCGGUCUGCUAAGUUGGAUGUGAAAACUCUGGGCUUAACCCAGAGCCUGCAUUCAAUACUGACAGGCUAGAGUUCUGGAGGGGAUAGCGGAAUUCCUGGUGUAGCGGUGAAAUGCGUAGAUAUCAGGAGGAACACCGGUGGCGAAGGCGGCUAUCUGGACAGAGUCUGACGCUGAGGCGCGAAAGCUAGGGGAGCAAACAGG
rnacentral:rRNA from 1 species